rnacentral:rRNA from 1 species
AAAAAAGGUAAGCUACUAAGAGCGAAUGGUGGAUGCCUUGACUGGUAAAGGCGAUGAAGGACGUACUAGACUGCGAUAAGCUACGGGGAGCUGUCAAGAAGCUUUGAUCCGUAGAUUUCCGAAUGGGGCAACCCAAUGUAUAGAGAUAUACAUUACCUAUAUAGGAGCGAACGAGGGGAAUUGAAACAUCUUAGUACCCUCAGGAAAAGAAAUCAAUAGAGAUUGCGUCAGUAGCGGCGAGCGAAAGCGCAAGAGGGCAAACCCAGUGCUUGCACUGGGGGUUGUAGGACUGCAAUGUGCAAGAGCUGAGUUUAGCAGAACAUUCUGGAAAGUAUAGCCAUAGAGGGUGAUAGUCCCGUAUGCGAAAAACAAAGCUUAGCUAGCAGUAUCCUGAGUAGGGCGGGACACGAGAAAUCCUGUCUGAAUCCGGGUCGACCACGAUCCAACCCUAAAUACUAAUACCAGAUCGAUAGUGCACAAGUACCGUGAGGGAAAGGUGAAAAGAACUGAGGUGAUCAGAGUGAAAUAGAACCUGAAACCAUUUGCUUACAAUCAUUCAGAGCACUAUGUAGCAAUACAGUGUGAUGGACUGCCUUUUGCAUAAUGAGCCUGCGAGUUGUGGUGUCUGGCAAGGUUAAGCAAACGCGAAGCCGUAGCGAAAGCGAGUCUGAAUAGGGCGCUUAGUCAGAUGCUGCAGACCCGAAACGAAGUGAUCUAUCCAUGAGCAAGUUGAAGCUAGUGUAAGAACUAGUGGAGGACUGAACCCAUAGGCGUUGAAAAGCCCCGGGAUGACUUGUGGAUAGGGGUGAAAGGCCAAUCAAACUUCGUGAUAGCUGGUUCUCUCCGAAAUAUAUUUAGGUAUAGCGUUGUGUCGUAAUAUAAGGGGGUAGAGCACUGAAUGGGCUAGGGCAUACACCAAUGUACCAAACCCUAUCAAACUCCGAAUACCUUAUAUGUAAUCACAGCAGUCAGGCGGCGAGUGAUAAAAUCCGUCGUCAAGAGGGAAACAACCCAGACUACCAGCUAAGGUCCCUAAAUCUUACUUAAGUGGAAAACGAUGUGAAGUUACUUAAACAACCAGGAGGUUGGCUUAGAAGCAGCCAUCCUUUAAAGAAAGCGUAAUAGCUCACUGGUCUAGUGAUUUUGCGCGGAAAAUAUAACGGGGCUAAAGUAAGUACCGAAGCUGUAGACUUGCGCACAACUUAGAUUAUUUAAGUUUAGAAUAUGAGAAACUAAGUUAUGUUUAGUUAUAUUUUUACUGAUUUUUAUAGAGUAAAGAUAGAAAUAAAACUUAGUAAAAUCAGUAAAAAUAUUCUUAGGCUAAAGUUAAGUAGUUUAAGUUGUGUGCAAGUGGUAGGAGAGCGUUCUAUUUGCGUCGAAGGUAUACCGGUAAGGAGUGCUGGAGCGAAUAGAAGUGAGCAUGCAGGCAUGAGUAGCGAUAAUUAAUGUGAGAAUCAUUAACGCCGUAAACCCAAGGUUUCCUACGCGAUGCUCGUCAUCGUAGGGUUAGUCGGGUCCUAAGUCGAGUCCGAAAGGGGUAGACGAUGGCAAAUUGGUUAAUAUUCCAAUACCAACAUUAGUGUGCGAUGGAAGGACGCUUAGGGCUAAGGGGGCUAGCGGAUGGAAGUGCUAGUCUAAGGUCGUAGGAGGUUAUACAGGCAAAUCCGUAUAACAAUACUCCGAGAACUGAAAGGCUUUUUGAAGUCUUCGGAUGGAUAGAAGAACCCCUGAUGCCGUCGAGCCAAGAAAAGUUUCUAAGUUUAGCUAAUGUUGCCCGUACCGUAAACCGACACAGGUGGGUGGGAUGAGUAUUCUAAGGCGCGUGGAAGAACUCUCUUUAAGGAACUCUGCAAAAUAGCACCGUAUCUUCGGUAUAAGGUGUGGUUAGCUUUGUAUUAGGAUUUACUCCGAAAGCAAGGAAACUUACAACAAAGAGUCCCUCCCGACUGUUUACCAAAAACACAGCACUCUGCUAACUCGUAAGAGGAUGUAUAGGGUGUGACGCCUGCCCGGUGCUCGAAGGUUAAUUGAUGGGGUUAGCAUUAGCGAAGCUCUUGAUCGAAGCCCGAGUAAACGGCGGCCGUAACUAUAACGGUCCUAAGGUAGCGAAAUUCCUUGUCGGUUAAAUACCGACCUGCAUGAAUGGCGUAACGAGAUGGGAGCUGUCUCAAAGAGGGAUCCAGUGAAAUUGUAGUGGAGGUGAAAAUUCCUCCUACCCGCGGCAAGACGGAAAGACCCCGUGGACCUUUACUACAGCUUGACACUGCUACUUGG